rnacentral:rRNA from 1 species
GGUUAAGCGACUAAGCGUACACGGUGGAUGCCCUGGCAGUCAGAGGCGAUGAAGGACGUGCUAAUCUGCGAUAAGCGUCGGUGAGGUGAUAUGAACCGUUAUAACCGGCGAUUUCCGAAUGGGGAAACCCAGUGUGUUUCGACACACUAUCAUUAACUGAAUCCAUAGGUUAAUGAGGCGAACCGGGGGAACUGAAACAUCUAAGUACCCCGAGGAAAAGAAAUCAACCGAGAUUCCCCCAGUAGCGGCGAGCGAACGGGGAGGAGCCCAGAGCCUGAAUCAGUGUGUGUGUUAGUGGAAGCGUCUGGAAAGGCGCGCGAUACAGGGUGACAGCCCCGUACACAAAAAUGCACAUAUUGUGAGCUCGAUGAGUAGGGCGGGACACGUGGUAUCCUGUCUGAAUAUGGGGGGACCAUCCUCCAAGGCUAAAUACUCCUGACUGACCGAUAGUGAACCAGUACCGUGAGGGAAAGGCGAAAAGAACCCCGGCGAGGGGAGUGAAAAAGAACCUGAAACCGUGUACGUACAAGCAGUGGGAGCCUCUUAAUGGGGUGACUGCGUACCUUUUGUAUAAUGGGUCAGCGACUUAUAUUCUGUAGCAAGGUUAACCGAAUAGGGGAGCCGAAGGGAAACCGAGUCUUAACUGGGCGUUAAGUUGCAGGGUAUAGACCCGAAACCCGGUGAUCUAGCCAUGGGCAGGUUGAAGGUUGGGUAACACUAACUGGAGGACCGAACCGACUAAUGUUGAAAAAUUAGCGGAUGACUUGUGGCUGGGGGUGAAAGGCCAAUCAAACCGGGAGAUAGCUGGUUCUCCCCGAAAGCUAUUUAGGUAGCGCCUCGUGAAUUCAUCUCCGGGGGUAGAGCACUGUUUCGGCAAGGGGGUCAUCCCGACUUACCAACCCGAUGCAAACUGCGAAUACCGGAGAAUGUUAUCACGGGAGACACACGGCGGGUGCUAACGUCCGUCGUGAAGAGGGAAACAACCCAGACCGCCAGCUAAGGUCCCAAAGUCAUGGUUAAGUGGGAAACGAUGUGGGAAGGCCCAGACAGCCAGGAUGUUGGCUUAGAAGCAGCCAUCAUUUAAAGAAAGCGUAAUAGCUCACUGGUCGAGUCGGCCUGCGCGGAAGAUGUAACGGGGCUAAACCAUGCACCGAAGCUGCGGCAGCGACACUAUGUGUUGUUGGGU